GUUGUUGUGGAGAAAUCAAUUGUGUGGAACGGGUUGUUGUGGGGUUGAGACCUUAUCAGCUCUCCUUACUCUUUACCUUUUUCACGCAAUGCACUUUCUCUUUAACAAGUCAACAUCAAUUUCUUUUGUUGUAAAAGGGUCAGCGGAAGGUGGCUUUCUUUUCGGAGAAAGUGUUUAUAGCCGUUGAUCUCUACAAUCGGAGAGAUUGAGGUCUGCAGCGUAGAUCCUUCGGGGUUAGAUACGUUGGUGCUAAGUUAUAAUCCUACAUAGACAACUUGUUGACUAUGUUCGAUCAUGUAGCUUACUCGCUAGCGCUAUUUUACCUAC
rnacentral:rRNA from 1 species